rnacentral:rRNA from 1 species
UACAGAGGGGGCAAGCGUUGUUCGGAAUUACUGGGCGUAAAGGGCGCGUAGGCGGCCUGUUAAGUCGGACGUGAAAUCCCUCGGCUCAACCGGGGAACUGCGUCCGAUACUGGCGGGCUUGAAUUCGGGAGAGGGAUGUGGAAUUCCAGGUGUAGCGGUGAAAUGCGUAGAUAUCAGGAGGAACACCCGUGGCGAAGGCGGCUCUCUAUCUCGAUUCUGACGCUGAGGCGCGAAAGCUAGGGGAGCAAACGGG